AUUGAACGCUGGCGGCAGGCCUAACACAUGCAAGUCGAGCGGAUGACGGGAGCUUGCUCCUUGAUUCAGCGGCGGACGGGUGAGUAAUGCCUAGGAAUCUGCCUGGUAGUGGGGGACAACGUUUCGAAAGGAACGCUAAUACCGCAUACGUCCUACGGGGGAAAGCAGGGGACCUUCGGGCCUUGCGCUAUCAGAUGAGCCUAGGUCGGAUUAGCUAGUUGGUGGGGUAAUGGCUCACCAAGGCGACGACCCGUAACUGGUCUGAGAGGAUGAUCAGUAACACUGGAACUGAGACACGGUGCAGACUCCUACGGGAGGCAGCAGUGGGGAAUAUUGGACAAUGGGCGAAAGCCUGAUCCAGCCAUGCCGCGUGUGUGAAGAAGGUCUUCGGAUUGUAAAGCACUUUAAGUUGGGAGGAAGGGCAGUAAGUUAAUACCUUGCUGUUUUGACGUUACCGACAGAAUAAGCACCGGCUAACUCUGUGCCAGCAGCCACGGUAA
rnacentral:rRNA from 1 species